CACAGUCCUUGUAAUUGCAUAUACUCAGGCACUUUAUUUUGUAAAUCCACACAGGAUACAGCAGUAAAUGAAAACAAAAGUAACAGAAAACCCUAUAAACAAAAACCUAGCUCGUCUGAGCACUAACUGACAUUAGUUCCCUAUCUCUCAGGGUUAAUCUAAACACAAUAUUGCACCAACCUUAUUAGAGAGCAACGCUCUGCUAGCUAGCCUGUUGCUUUCCUUUCUGCACUCCCAGUGCUCCAAGCCAGCCUUGCCCUGACUGCUUUCCUUUCUGCACUCCCAGUGCUCCAAGCCAGCCUUGCCCUGAC